CUUAUUUGUCUUUUGGCCAAAUUAUUAGUUGCUUCUGCAUGCUGAGUCAAAUAUAUGACUAUAUGAGUUCGUCUUUUGUUAUCAUGUUGGAGUGGUGAGAAAAUUGAUUACAAUUUUAGAAAAGAACAACUUAAGUAUGGCACACUUGCUAUAGUAGCUAAGGUUAUCUUGUAUGUCUAUAAUUGAAAAUAAUAUUUCUACUUUCAUAAGGUAUAGAUGCCUGUAAGGACAUCGUUGAGUGGUUGAGAGGUGAUUGUGAUAUAUCAAUUGUCCCACGUUGAAAAAAAUAGAGAAAUACUAGUGAAUAGGCUAAAUGGGUUCUCCCACCUAUCAAACCGUGACCAACGAAGAUCGAUUCAUGCAUGGAGCUGCGACUCCGAGUGGUGGCCUGUGUGUCUGGAGUGAUGGCCUGGAUCCAAGAGGGGUGCCAACUGUGACCAACUGGGCAUAGUCGUGACCAACGAGGAUCGAUCCAUUUCCAUGCAUGGAGCUGCGACUCGGAGUGGUGGUCUGAACCCAAGAGAGGGUGCCAACCAUGAUCAACUGGACCUAGCUAUGACCAACGAGCUGUCGUUGGUUCUCAAGCGGAGGCGAUUGUUAUGUAUCAAUUGUCUCACAUUGAAAAAACAGAGAAAUACUAAUGGAUUUAUAGGCUAAAUGGGUUCUCCCAGCUAUCAGACUAGUUUUUUGGGUUGGACUCUCUCAUUUGGUUUAUAACAUAUGGAUCUCCAUAUGGGAGACCUGGAUCGAAUCUAGCCUCCGAUUCUCGCUACGUCAUGAGUUCGUCACAUGAAGCUUGCUUCGUACGGUUUAUAUCUCCUGCAUAGCUUGUGAGUGUGGGGGUUCAUAUAAAAUUAUAUUGGUAUGUUGUUUUUGUAGUACAUGGAUAACGUAAAUUUGAUACACA
rnacentral:lncRNA from 1 species